UACGGAGGGUGCAAGCGUUAUCCGGAUUCACUGGGUUUAAAGGGUGCGUAGGUGGGCUUGUAAGUCAGUGGUGAAAUCUCCGGGCUUAACUCGGAAACUGCCAUUGAUACUAUAGGUCUUGAAUUAUCUGGAGGUCAGCGGAAUAUGUCAUGUAGCGGUGAAAUGCUUAGAUAUGACAUAGAACACCAAUUGCGAAGGCAGCUUACUAAAGUAUGAUUGACGCUGAGGCACGAAAGCGUGGGGAUCAAACAGG
rnacentral:rRNA from 1 species